AUUUAUUUUUAAUAUUAAAUCUCUUCACUCUCUAUUUGACAUUUUUAUCAUAAAACCUACUAAGUCAAAACUAAUGCACAUUUUUUUUCUAAUGCAUUUUUUUUCUAUUCUACUGUAUAAAAUAAGUUUAGAUAAUAAAGGUUUUAUUAUAUUAUAAUGAGAAAUAACAAAGAUCUCAAAAAGUCUAAUAUAAUAUCCAUAAUAGAAUACCACUCACUAUUCUAACCUCAAGAUAUUAAUAAAGUGUCACUUAAAUACUUCUCCUUUCUCUCAAAUCAAACAUUACCUUAGUUGUAACUAAUUAUUAUUUUUAUAUAAUAAAUAAUAAUUAAUAAUUUAAAAAGUAAUAUAAUCAAUAGAAUUAAUUACUUGACUUUACUACUGUAUAUUAUUUAUGGAAGGAUGAAUAAAAUCAGGUCGUUGAUAAAUAAAGUAUAUAUAUGAGACAAACAAAUAUAGAUAUCCAAUAAUUAAUCUAAUUAUUUCUAUGAAUACCCGAUUAUUAUUCGGAUCACAAAUAAACUUAAUGUUAUAUUUUUAUGCAUCUUUAUAUUUUUAUGCGUAUACUUUUCUACUAUCCCAAUUUUAAUAUUUACAAAAAUUUAAAAGAGAAAGCGGAGUACAAGUUAGGUGUUUUCAUGGAAACCCUAAAAUUGGAGAGUAUAUUUGGGUUGUGAGUUAAGUUGAAGCUUUUUAAACGCUAGCGGUAUUUUUGGUUAGGUUCUUAAAAUUAAAUUUGGGUGAGGUUCAGUUUAAUGUUUGAAUUGAAAGGUAAUAUUGCUUAGGUUGUCUGUGUUUGGUUGGAUCUAUCACAGUCGGCAUAUUGAGUAUCAAUUGGUAAAUUUUUUUUAAUAUUAAAUCUCUCACUCUCUAUUUGACAUUUUAUCAUAAAACCUACUAAGUCAAAACUAAUGCCAUUUUUUUUUCUAAUGCACUUUUUUUCUAUUCUACUGUAUAAAAUAAGUUUAGAUAAUAAUUUUAAUUAUAUUAUAUGAGAAAUAACAAAGAUCUCAAAAGGUCUAAUAUAAUAUCCAUAAUAGAAUACCACUCACUAUUCUAACAUCAAGAUAUUAAUAAAGUGCCACUUAAAUACUUCUCCUUCCUCAAAUUAAACAUUACCUUAGUUGUAACUAAUUAUUAGUUUUAUAUAAUAAAUAAUAAUUAAUAACUUAAAAAGUAAUAUAAUCAAUAGAAUUAAUUACUUGACUUUACAUUGUAUAUUAUUUAUGGAAGGAUGAUAAAUAUAGGCCGUUGAUAAAAUAAAGUAUAUAUAUGAGACAAACAAAUUAAGAUAUCCAAUAAUUAAUCUAAUUAUUCUCUGAAUACCCGUUUAUUAUUCGGAUCAAAAAUAAACUAAUGUUAUAUUAUGCAAUUUUAUAUUUUUAUGCGUAUACUUUUCUACUAUCCCAAUUUUAAUAUUUACAAAAAUUUAAAAGAGAAAGUGGAGUACAAGUUAGGUGUUUCCAUGGAAACGUUAAAAUUGGAGAGUAAUAUUGGGUUGUGAGUUAAGUUGAAGCUUUUAAACGCUAGCGGUAUUUUUGUUAGGUUCUUAAAAUUUAAUAUUGGUGAGGUUUCAGUUUAAUGUUUUGAAUUGAAAGGUAAUAUUGCUUAGGUUGUCUGUGUUUGGUUGGAUCUAUCCACAGUCGGCAUAUUGAGUAUCAAUUGGUAAAUUUAUUUUUAAUAUUAAAUCUCUCCACUCUCUAUUUGACAUUUUUAUCAUAAACCUACUAAGUCAAACUAAUGCACAUUUUUUUCUAAUGCACUUUUUUUUCUAUUCUACUGUAUAAAAUAAGUUUAGAUAAUAAAUGGUUUUAUUAUAUUAUAAUGAGAAAUAACAAAGAUCUCAAAAGGUCUAAUAUGAUAUCCAUAAUAGAAUACCACUCACUAUUCUAACAUCAAGAUAUUAAUAAAGUGCCACUUAAAUACUUCUCCUUCCUCUCAAUUAAACAUUACCUUAGUUGUAACUAUUUAUUUUAUAUAAUAAAUAAUAAUUAAUAACUUAAAGUAAUAUAUAAUCAAUAGAAUUAAUUACUUGACUUUACAAUUGUAUAUUAUUUAUGGAAGGAUGUAAAAUCAGGCCGUUGAUAAAAUAAAGUAUAUAUAUGAGACAAACAAUUUUAGAUAUCCAAUAUUUAAUCUAAUUAUUUCUAUGAAUACCCGUUAUUUAUUCGGAUCAAAAUAAACCUAAUGUUAUAUUUUUAUGCAAUUUUAUAUGUUAUACGUAUACUUUUCUACUAUCCCAAUUUUAAUAUUUAAAUUUAAAAGAGAAAGUGGAUACAAGUUGAGUGUUUUCAUGGAAACAUUAAAAUUGGAGAGUAUAUUUGGGUUGUGAGUUAGUUGAAGCUUUUUAAACGCUAGCGGUAUUUUUGUUAGGUUCUAAAAUUUAAUAUUGGUGAGGUUCAGUUUAAUGUUUUGAAUUGAAAGGUAAUAUUGCUUAGGUUGUCUGUGUUUGGUUGGAUCUAUCCACAGUCGGCAUAUUGAGUAUCAAUUGGUAAAUUUAUUUUUAAUAUUAAAUCUCUCCACUCUCUAUUUGACAUUUUUAUCAUAAAACCUACUAAGUCAAACUAAUGCACAUUUUUUUUCUAAUGCACUUUUUUUUUCUAUCUACUGUAUAAAAUAAGUUUAGAUAAUAAAUGUUUUAUUAUAUUAUAAUGAGAAAUAACAAAGAUUCUCAAAAGGUCUAAUAUAAUAUCCAUAAUAGAAUACCACUCACUAUUCUAACAUCAAGAUAUUAAUAAAGUGCCACUUAAAU
rnacentral:lncRNA from 1 species